AAACCCGAAAGUUCGAACGGGGAGAUUCAAUUGAUUUACCGGUGAUGAUCAAUAGUGCAGUAUUUGGGACGCAUAUGAUAUGCAAUUUCGAUUGUAUUAUUAUAUACGCUCUGCUGUCUGUUGUAUAUUUAUUGUCGGAGUCAUGCACUUCUCCCCUUGUAGGACGUCGUGACCCGUUGAGCAUUUAUAA
rnacentral:rRNA from 1 species